rnacentral:lncRNA from 1 species
AUCCUGAAAAAAUGAGAAACUUGAAGGAGAACUCCAAGACUUUUGCCCUGGGCAAUCAGAAGAAUGGAGUUGCCAUUAACUAAGAUAAGGAAUGUUGCAGGAAUUUUGGAGUGGAAAGAUAUCAGGAGUUCAAUUUUGCACAUAUUAAGGAAUCCUCAGUACUGAUUUGGAAGAAGACAUGCACAACCUGGGAGAUGAAGGACUUGUCCAGGGCCAUAAAGUUUUCACGUGGCAAUACUGGGAUCCACAUCAAGGUCUUUCUGUGCUCAAUAUAAUAUAUGGCCUCCUGACUGUUAUGUUAAUAUUAUAAGCCUCCUUGAAGAAAUAUUGUUAAUACUUUGUAAAUGAGUCAUAGCACUAUACAUGCUUGAAAGUGAUACAACUGUUUUCAUUUAAAAAUGAAUGUAAUCUAACAUUUUCAUCACUUCAGACUAUUCUAUUUAAUUAUUUAGAAUUUGUAUGACUCUACCAUAAAAAUCACACAUGCUAGCCAAAAUACAGAAAGAAAAAUAAAUGAACUUCAUAAAAGCGGUCCAAAAAUUAAUAUCAUCUUAUUUUUCCUUAAAUUAUGUUACAUUGGUUCUAAUAGCCAAAAGAGUCAAUUGCCCAAAUACACACAGUGUAGCUAAAAACAUUUUAACAGGAAGUCAAGUAGACAGAGCUCCUACUCCCUAGAAGUUGAAAAUCAAAAAUUCAAUAUGGGCACAUAACAAUGCAGAGAUCAUAACCACACACCUCACUGUACAAGAGGAAAGUGCACAGAAUAAUAAAUAUACCAGCAAGCACACAAAUGACUGCUAAAUUUAACAUCUUCUCUGAGGUUUUCAGUGUCAGAGGCACUGUUAAAAAAGAAGAUCAGGCCGGACACAGUGGCUCACACCUGCAAUCCUAGAACUUUGGGAGGCUGAGGCAGAUGGAUUGCCUGAGCUCAGGAGUUCGAGACUAGCCUGGGCAACACGGUGAAACCCUAUCUCUACUAAAAUACAAAAAAUUAGCCGCUCAUGGCCGCGUGGGCCUGUAAUCUCAGCUACUCAGGAGGCUGAGGCAGGAGAAUUGCUAGAACCUGGGAAGUGGAGGUUGCAGUGAGCCGAGAUUGUGCCACUGCACUCCAGCUUGGGCAACAGAGAGAGACUCCGUCUCAAAAAAUAAAAAAAUUAAAAAAAGAGCAACUUUUACACAGAGCAGGGAGGUUCUAGGAAGAAGAAAAAAUAAGGAAAGGACCAUUCCCGGUACAGAGACUGCUGGAUGAAGCCUGGGAAUGGCUUAGGUGAAAUUGCACUGUCUGGUCAGGAGAACAAGAUGAGGCGAAUGCUGAGGAGAGAGGUGCAGGCAAAAUGAAGGGAAUCAGAAUGAAGGCAAGAGAUUCACUACGGACUCCAGGGAUCAGAUAAGGACCCCCUUAUCAGGGCCUCAGCAGCCUGGCAGAGAUAGAGGAGACACGCAGAAAGCUGCAGCAGAUUCCAAAGGGUGAGAUUACCUGGUGCUGGUGGGAGGGUGCUGGCUUCCUCCAUCACGUGGUCACCAGAGUCUGAGUUGGAAGAACAUGGCCAUUGAGAAGGAAGUGGCCAUGGUCUAGUCUGGAAGCAAGUGACUCAGAAAAUAAAUCCCUUUAUCCACAAAGUGCCAUUCCUUUGAAUGAAAAGGACAAAAAUCAAAUCCACACUAAGACCAGUUUACCAUUUAGUCCAGAUUUCCAGGCAGCGACUCUAAGCACAGAAGAGGGGCAAAAGCAGAGGGAUGGAAGGACAGUGUGUUUAUGGAGGACAAAGGACACUUUCUGAAGAGGGUGAGGUUCAGUGGUAGAAAGUGGCAUAAAUAUAUUCACUGCUAUAUAUUAAUCUUCU